CUGUAACUACUUCUUAUAUAGAAAACAUCUAAGUUCGAUUUUUUUUACAUAAUAUUACGAACGGAGAGAUCACGCGGUGUCGGCGGUGCACGCAAACUGAUGCUGCCGAUCAAGUCUACGAUCACUUAAUUAUUAAUUAAUGGUUGUUGCUGGGGAUUAUUAAUAAAACAUUCGCCCUGACUAUUGGCACUUAGAUUAGCGUUGAGGGAGUAAUGGCGCAUUUCAACAAUUUCGGUUGUUAUUUAAUUGAAGUCAAUUUAGAUGAUCAGAGUCUAUUUAGGUUGGUGCUGGCACUCGGCAGCGGGAUCUCUCCUUCAUUGGGCUCAUUGGUGACUUUCAGGCAGCACGAAUUGCACUCGCUGAUGCACUUUUAGACGCAUUUGCACUCGUUGCGACUACGAACAUGUAGGUCAAGAGGAUUCACACCUGAUUCACGCACGAACCCGAAGAUUACAUAGCCUACUAGUGCUCGCUAUUGGAUGUUACCCGAACCAAUGUGCAAAAAGAUGCAGAUGUGGUUUAUUGUGAAAAGAUUGUGCAGCGCUUCUAUAGAUUGCAGUGUAGUGAUAUUAUGUCAAUUGAUACAAAAAGUGGAUAGGUUAAAUUUUUCUGUUUGUGAAAUUAAGUGGAGCCCUGCGACUGUUCGUCUGAACUCGGCGUCGGUGUAUAAGAAAAAGGCGUCGGAUACUCUGGGCACGCAUCGCUUGAGCCAGUAGUGGACGGUGCACAGCGUGAUCAGGAUCACCGCGAGGAAGGUGAAGGCAGCGAUGUAGACGUUGUGCUGAAGACCUUUAGUCACGCCGCACUUAAGGCGGUCCUCGUCGUAAAUGUCUGCGACAUUGAUGUAGAAUAGUUAUAGACGAAAGAUCACGAACAAAAUGACAUCGUUCAAGUGGCCAGGUUUUUUUAAAUGAGAACAAAAAAAAAUUAUAGAACUUAACACCUAAGCAAUAAGUCUAAAGUCUAAUUGAACUAAGGUCAACUAUUAUUUUUGCGUUUAUUUUUUUGGGCCACUUUUGCUUUAUAAUUACAAAUUGUGUCGAUACUCAUAUCGUUGGUCUGCGUUGGUCAUUAUCAAAAAAUAAUGAAAACAAAAAGUCACACAGAAGUAAAACGUCGUCAAAAAAAAACAUGCUUGAAAAUCGUAAGAUAUAAUUAAUUCUUCAAUACCUAAGGCGCUUACAUAAGACAUAGGCUCCUAACUUCAUUAAUAAUAAGUAAUAGUCAACUCUAUGUAAAAUUGAACUGUAUGCAUCCAUCUAUUAAAAUGGUUUGGAUAUUU